AAAAAAUAUAUUAUGAUACACUUUUAAAGUGAUAAACAACCCAUGAAUUCUGAUAAAAAAAAACCAUGAACUAUUUUUUUUAUAAAAUAAAAAAAAAUCACAAAAUGAUAAACAAAAAUUAAUAAAAAUUAAUUUACUUCAGUCUUCAGUCCUAUUCAAAUCAGAGCAAAUCUAACCUCUCCCCUCUCCAUCACCCCACAAACCUUCCCCAGCACGUGCCAAAAAAACACAUCACACGUGCCAAUCACUCCACCAAACUUUGAUUAAAAAAUAGUAAUAAUAAUAAUAAUAAUGAAACCAUCACCAAUCAAUCAAGGCCUCCAUGCACUAGCCCACACCACCGGCUGGUCCUUCCAGCACAGGAAUAUUCCGGCGUCGCUGCACUGUGUCAUUGACCAUCCUUCCUUAUACCUUCUCAACAAGGCGCGUACAUCAUCACACACCUCAUCACUGAACAAAACAGUGCUAAACCCACAUGCAUGCAUCCGUGCAGACCAGCGCGUGGCCGUUUCCCGCCGUUCUAUACAGUCGGACGGCGAACAUGCCACCAAGUCAACUAUGGCACGUCCUGCAGUCCUCUCUAGCAUCAACCUUUCGUUGCUUGUUCUUGAAAAGCUCUCUUCCAAUGACUCAAAAUAAACCCUAAACCAUCUCAAGCAUUCUUGGAAACCCCUUACGAAGUCUAACCCAUCAACACCCACAUCAAGAUCAGCUUCUUCUUCAACAAUAGUGAUGAUUCUUGGUUGCAAUCUUCUGAAACUUGAUAUAAUAUAAUCUCUGCGAUCAGCCACAGAAGUAACAGAGUGUAGAGAUCCUACACAGUUGAUGGCUAGAGCUUCAUCGUCUUUAAUGUCCAAUUCAGCUAAGUUUAGAUCACAUAAGUCACCUGCAUGAUGUAUGGCACGGAAUUUAAAUGGUACGCCCAUAAGCCUAGCAAAUUUUUCCAUUCUGCUUCCAAUUUCUUUCAUUACCUUCUGGGCUGCAGCUAAACUUCCGUCGCCUCUGCCACCACCACUAGUUUUGGUAGCAACUACGGUGGUUAGCCUGAGGUGUGGUGUUUCAUCAGUACGGGUUGCUAGGGCUUCUAGCAAAGUAGGCCACUGGGUGCAAUAUGUGUUGCUAAUAUCAAUAAUAUGCAAUUUGGUUUCACCUUCAAAUGCUUCCAUGAUUGCACCAUUACAAGAUACGUGACCAAAAGUGGUCCAAGGACUUACCUCUUGAAACUUCAAUACCAUUUUUCUUGUAGACUCGAAAGAACAAGUUUUAUCCGAUGCAGAAGCUAAAGUACGGUAGCAUCGCUCGCCGGAGUCCGUCAUCCGGCUAAACAAAGCUUGGAGAAAGUAGGAGGCAAGCUUUUGGUCGGGGUCGCCAUAAGGAGAGGCGAGUUCAUUGAGCAUCCACAUGAGUUGCUGGACACGGGCGCUGUUUUUAUCGGCGAUGGCACGAGCAGUUUCGAGGAGAAUAUCAGAGGCCCACUGGCCGGAAAAUUCAAAGUUUAGGUCACAAGUAGAUGAGAAAGAGAAGUCAGUGGAUUCAAGGGCAUGUUGAGUAGUAGGAGUGCUAGUAUUAGUGGUGGUAGUGGUAGGAGUAGCAGCAGUGGUGUGUUGUUGAUGGUGAUAAGGAUAGCAAUGCUUAGAAGAAGACGAAGAGAAGUCUUCUUCAUCCAUGAAAAAAUUGAAGCAUUCUUCGUCUUCUUGUUGGUAGUGAUGGUGGUUGUUUUGUCUUGAGGAUCUAGAGCUGCUAGAGGUUCUGCUAGUAGAGUUAUUGAAAGAUUGAUCUGAUUGUUGGUGACUAACGAGCCUAAACAAGGUAUCCAUCUAAAAACCUACCAGAGACCCACAUCAAUAGACUUUGGAUUGAGUUUGUUGGGUUUCUUGGAGAGUGAAUGAAGGAGAAAGAUGGGUGUGUUUGUGUUUUUAACAGUGGACAAUUGAGGAGAUGGAGAAUGAUUAAAGGUGAUAGCUAGAGUCUUCAACUUGAAUAUUAGCCUAAUUGGCUAAUUUUGCUUAAGAUAUAUGAUUAGGGAAUGAGAGAGGGGAAUCUAAGCAAGUUAAAACGUGAGUUUCCUUUGGAGCAAUCGAUGAAAUUGGAGUGGGGCUAAUGGGCUUAUUUUCUUUCCUUUGUUUUUUAAGAAAAGGAAAGUAAAAUUAGAUAAGAUAGCUAAAUAGCUAGAGUAGUUUAGAAAUAGAAGUACGUAUCUGGCAAGGUCAAGGUGAGCAUAUGGUUAGUGGAUUAGCUUUUCAUUCUUGAAAAAGAGAGAAUGUCAUAGGUUUUAGUGGGAGCAGGCGUGCCAAUUGGGUUUAGGAGAGAGAAAUGAGUAAAGCUGCCGGCGUGCAUCAUCAUUAUCAAACGCACCAUCACCCAACACAUUCUAUUCAUAUUCUUUGCCUCCUAAUCCCUCUCCAAACACUGCCAAAAUUCCCCCACCACUUUUUCCUUUUCUAUACUGUACAUAAACCCAUACAUCAACGCUUUAUAAUAUAAUUGUCUAUUCUAAUACCGAAAUGUACUCUUCUCCAAUUUCAAGGGCAUGCUCUUUCACCUUUUUUUUACCUUCUCCACUACUCCCACAUGAUAUAUACUUCACUACCACAACCAAUCAAGUAUUAGAGAUGGCCUAUAGCUCCUCUCACUAGCUAUGGAGCUAGCUAUACCCCAAAAUCUUAUAUACUAGAUACCCACUUGAUUAAGUCAUCCUCCUGUUCAUUAUUGCACCCCCAAGCACAAAGUGCACCACUUGGCCUUGUAUGUCUCGACCUUGUUGUCCUCAUCUUGAACCUUAGCUCUCUCUGGAAACAAUAUCUAUAUAUUUGGUUGGCCUACACAUAUGAAGCACUCAGCAUUUUAUUUGUUUGCGUCAGCUUAGUUAAACUCAAG
rnacentral:misc_RNA from 1 species